UACAAGCUUCCGGGUAUUAUUGGUGCUUUUAUAUCCGAACAAAGAGCGCUACAUUAUUGCCGAACCCUUCAAAACUGUUGACAUGCAAAGGCCUUCGUUUAGAUUCUUAUGGCGUUUUAGACCUCGAGGUACUUGCUGGCGGUGUGCACGUCCUUGUCUCCUCGUCCGCUGCAGUUCACCACCACCCUCACACCGUCGGGCAGGGUCGGGCAGAGCUUCUCGAGGUAGGCGAGGGCAUGGGAGGUCUCCAGGGCGGGGAUGAUGCCCUCCAGACGAGA
rnacentral:lncRNA from 1 species